UAGGUUUUGUUUAGGCUCUGUGUUGUUGUCUUGAUUUAUAUUUGGCUUGUUGUCCUUCUCUAUCUUGUUGUUGAGUUUGGAGGUAGAUCUGCUUUGCACGAUUGUGCUUUGUGGCUGAGCUUCUCAUAGCGACAGCACUUUAUAGGGUUAACAGCAUCAUUCCCUUGUGGGAUCCUUACAACCACAUCUAAAGCAAGUCCCCCUAGGAAAUAGCAUAGGGAGGCCAUUAAUGUUCUGCGAGCGGCG
rnacentral:lncRNA from 1 species